rnacentral:rRNA from 1 species
AUUGAACGCUGGCGGCAUGCCUUACACAUGCAAGUCGAACGGCAGCACGGGGGCGACCCUGGUGGCGAGUGGCGAACGGGUGAGUAAUGCAUCGGAACGUGCCCAGUAGUGGGGGACAACCAGUCGAAAGAUUGGCUAAUACCGCAUACGACCUAUGGGUGAAAGCGGGGGACCGUAAGGCCUCGCGCUAUUGGAGCGGCCGAUGUCUGAUUAGCUAGUUGGUGAGGUAAAGGCUCACCAAGGCGACGAUCAGUAGCUGGUCGGAGGGGACGGCCAGCCACACUGGGACUGAGACACGGCCCAGACUCCUACGGGAGGCAGCAGUGGGGAAUUUUGGACAAUGGGCGCAAGCCUGAUCCAGCCAUGCCGCGUGCGGGAAGAAGGCCUUCGGGUUGUAAACCGCUUUUGGCAGGAACGAAACGGCGCGGGCUAAUACCCAGCGUUAAUGACGGUACCUGCAGAAUAAGCACCGGCUAACUACGUGCCAGCCGCCGCGGUAACAC